GAGCACCUUAACCAUUAAGAGGCUCAUGAAGCACAGGUGUGUCAGCUUCAUUCCUGCUCCUGUGAUCACUCCUCUGCACAUGCUACCUUGGGUUGUAACAGUGCAGGACUAGUGGCAGUGGCAAGUAGACUGAGUAUCGUGCUACUUUACAGUUUUACCUUUUUUAAUGCUGCGGCUGGUGUUGGCCUCCAGUCAUGGGAGCACCUGGUGCAGUGAGAGUUCACCUGUUGAUUUGAGCCAUUUCACUUUCUACACAUCACUCCUCUUGGCUGCUACUCUCACCACUCUCCUAGCCCUGCCGAUUGGUUCUACCUUCUGCUUCCUCCACAGGAGAUUGACUUUACCCAGAGAAAAGCAUUUAUGUGUUUUUUUAAAUGAACAUUUACAUCUCAAAUACCAAACGUCUCUCAAAACUGAGAGAAAUAAAACAGUGAAA